rnacentral:rRNA from 1 species
GAGUUUGAUCAUGGCUCAGAUUGAACGCUGGCGGCAGGCUUAACACAUGCAAGUCGAGCGGGGAGAUUGCUUCGGUAAUUGACCUAGCGGCGGACGGGUGAGUAAUACUUAGGAAUCUGCCUAUUAAUGGGGGGACGAACAUCUCGAAAGGGAUGCUAAUACCGCAUACGCCUACGGGGAAAGGCAGGGGAUCACUUGUGACCUUGCGUUAAUAGAUGAGCCUAAGUCGGAUUAGCUAGUUGGUGGGGUAAAGGCCUACCAAGGCGGACGAUCUGUAGCGGGUCUGAGAGGAUGAUCCGCCACACUGGGACUGAGACACGGCCCAGACUCCUACGGGAGGCAGCAGUGGGGGAAUAUUGGGAC